rnacentral:rRNA from 1 species
GGAUUAGAUACCCUGGUAGUCCACGCCGUAAACGAUGGGCACUAGGUGUUGGUUUUACCUUCGGGUGAAAUCGGUGCCGCAGCUAACGCAUUAAGUGCCCCACCUGGGAAGUACGCCCGCAAGGGUGAAACUCAAAGGAAUUGACGGGGGCCCGCACAAGCGGUGGAGCAUGUGGUUUAAUUCGAUGCAACGCGCAGAACCUUACCGGGGCUUAAACUGCUAGGUAAACCCUAUGAAAGUAGGACUGAUCUUCGGAUCGACCUAGUAGAGGUGCUGCAUGGCUGUCGUCAGCUCGUGUUG